ensembl:lncRNA
AUGCGCCCCCCGGGAGCUGCGACGAUGCCGGCCCAUCUGAUCCCUCGGCACCAAUACGCCAUUGUGGGCUGGGGGAACCAGCUAGAGAAGCCGAGCGGGGGGCGCCGGCUGCCUCUGCUGAGACCGCCGCACAAUCCCUCCCUCGGACCCUCCAGAGCUGCUAUGGGAAGCCGGCCCACGAGGGCGAGCGGCAGCCCCAUGAUCCUGCCCCUGCUCUGGCUCUUUGUGCUCCUCAAGAAUGCUACACCCUUCCAUGUCACUGUCCAAGAAGAUAAUAGCAUUGUGGUCUCCCUGGAAGCUUCAGAUGUUGUGAGUUCAUCAUCUGUAUAUGUUGUGAAGAUAACUGGUGAAUCUAAGAAUUAUUUCUUCCAGUUUGAAGAAUUUAACAGCACACUGCCUGCUCCUGUGGUCUUCAAUGCCAGUUACCAUGGUCUUUAUUACAUAAUCACUUUGGUGGUAGUGAAUGCAAAUGUAGUGAUCAAACCAGCCAGAUCAAUCACUGUGUUAACAAAGCCUCUUCCUGUCACCAGCGUUUCUAUUUAUGACUAUAAGCCUUCUCCUGAAACAGGAGUCCUAUUUGAAAUUCAUUAUCCAGAAAAGUACAAUGUUUUUACAAGAGUAAACAUAAGCUAUUGGGAAGGCAAAGACUUCCGGACAAUGUUAUACAAAGAUUUUUUUAAAGGUAAAACCGUUUUUAAUCACUGGCUGCCUGGGAUAUGUUAUAGUAAUAUCACCUUUCAGCUAGUAUCUGAGGCAACGUUCAACAAAAGCACUCUGGUGGAAUACAGUGGUGUAAGUCAUGAACCCAAACAGCACAGAACAGCUCCUUUCCCACCUCAAAACAUCUCAGUUCGAAUUAUAAGCCUGAACAAGAAUAAUUGGGAAGAAGAGAGUGGAAGUUUCCCAGAGGAAUCAUUCCUGAGGCCACAAGAUCUCAUAGAAAAAGAGAAACUGCUCCAUUUUACAGAUGAUCCUCCUGAAAUUUCUUCAGCCAACACUUCUUCUGGGUGGCCAGAUUUUAACAGUAGUGAUGAGGAAACAACACUCCAGCCAUAUUGGUGGGAUAGUGAAACUGUAACACCAGAAAAUGAAGAUGAAUUUGUCAGUGUUCUUCCCAGGGAAGAUAAAAAUAAUAAUACAGUUAGCCUGAUUGAGAAAUCAACAUCAGCACCUUUAUCUUUUUUUCCUGUGCAAAUGAUAUUGAACUGGUUGCCUCCCAAACCACCUACUGCCUUUGAUGGGUUCCAUAUUCACAUAGAGAGAGAAGAAAACUCUACUGAAUUUCUGACAGUCAACGAGGAAGCACAUGAAUUUGUCACUGAGCUGAAUGAACCUGGAAAAUAUAAAUUAUCUGUGACAACCUUUAGUUCCUCUGGAUCUUGUGAAACACGAGGAAGUCAAUCAGCCAAAACAAUUAGUUUUUACAUCAGUCCUUUAGGAGAAUGGAUUGAAGAAUUAACAGAGAAGCCUCAGCAUGUCCGCGUGAAUGUUUUAAGCUCUACCACUGCCUUAAUGUCUUGGACAUCUUCGCAAGAGAGGGACAACAAUAACACAAUUGUGUCUGUCGUGUCUCUAACCUGCCAGAAACAAAAGGAAAGUCAAAGACUUGAAAAGCAUUAUUGUACUCAGGUUAACUCAAGCAAAAGCAUCAUUGAAAAUCUGGUUCCUGGUGCCCAAUACCAGGUUGUGAUUUACCUAAGAAAAGGUCCUUUGAUUGGACCACCUUCAGAUCCUGUUACGUUUGCCAUAGUUCCCACUGGAAUCAAGGACUUAAUGCUCUACCCUUUGGGUCCGACUGCUGUUGUUCUGAGCUGGACCAGGCCUUACUUAGGGGUGUUCAGGAAGUAUGUGGUAGAAAUGUUUUAUUUCAAUCCUGCAACAAUGAUAUCAGAAUGGACAACCUACUACGAAAUAGCUGCAACUGUUUCCUUAACUGCAUCUGUGAGAAUAGCCAAUCUGUUACCAGCAUGGUACUACAACUUUCGGGUUACCAUGGUGACAUGGGGAGAGCCAGAAUUGAGCUGUUGUGACAGUUCUACUAUAAGCUUCAUAACAGCCCCCGUGGCUCCAGAAAUCACUUCUGUUGAAUAUUUUAACAAUUUGCUGUAUAUAAGUUGGAUGUAUGGGGAUGACACCACUAACCUCUCCCAUUCCAGAAUGAUGCAUUGGAUGGUUGUUGCUGAAGGAAAGAAAAAGAUAAAAAAGAGUGUAACACGAAAUGUAAUGACUGCAGUACUAAACCUACCUCCAGGUGAUGUCUACAAUCUUUCAGUAACUGCCUGCACUGAAAGGGGAAGCAACACCUCUCUGCCUCACCUUGUGAAACUGGAACCAGCUCCUCCAAAAUCCCUUUUUGCAGUGAAUAAGACUCAAACUUCAGUGACUCUGCUAUGGGUAGAAGAGGGAGUUGUUGACUUCUACAAAGUCUUCUGUCAUCAAGCUGGAUCUAAUGAGGAAAUAAAACUCCAGGAGCCAAUUUCAGUUUUUUCUCAUGUUGUGACGAUUUCCAGCCUCCUGCCUGCCACUGUCUACAACUGUAGUGUAACCAGCUUCAGCCACAACAGUGCCAGUGUUCCUACAUUCAUAGCCAUCUCCACAAUGGUUACUGAGAUGAAUCCCAAUGUGGUGGUGAUCUCAGUGCUAGCAAUCCUGAGCACACUCUUGAUUGGACUGCUUCUUGUUACACUCAUCAUUCUCAGGAAAAAGCAUCUGCAGAUGGCCAGAGAGUGUGGGGCUGGAACAUUUGUCAAUUUUGCUUCCUUGGAAAGAGAUGGAAAGCUUCCAUACAACUGGCGUAGGAGUAUAUUUGCUUUCCUCACUCUGCUACCUUCAUGUCUUUGGACUGAUUAUCUUUUGGCAUUUUAUAUUAACCCCUGGAGUAAAAAUGGACUAAAGAAGAGGAAAUUAACCAAUCCUGUUCAGCUGGAUGACUUUGAUGCCUACAUUAAAGAGAUGGCCAAAGAUUCAGAUUAUAAAUUUUCUCUACAGUUUGAGGAACUGAAGUUAAUUGGGUUGGAUAUUCCACAUUUUGCUGCUGAUCUUCCACUGAAUAGAUGUAAAAACCGUUACACAAAUAUUCUCCCAUAUGACUUUAGUCGUGUCAGACUAGUCUCCAUGAAUGAAGAAGAAGGUGCAGAUUACAUCAAUGCCAACUAUAUUCCUGGAUAUAACUCACCCCAGGAGUACAUUGCCACACAGGGACCUCUCCCAGAAACCAGAAAUGAUUUUUGGAAGAUGGUUCUCCAGCAGAAGUCACAGAUUAUUGUUAUGCUUACUCAGUGCAAUGAGAAAAGGAGGGUAAGUAUAUAUUGGAGUGGUUUGCCGUUUCCUUCUCCAGCAUAUGCAUAUAUAGAUGUGUGCAUAUUGUUAUAUAUUAUAAAUGCUGAUGAGGUGCAAGAUGUCAUGCAUUUUAACUACACUGCCUGGCCUGACCAUGGUGUGCCCACUACAAAUGCUGCAGAAAGCAUCAUGCAAUUUGUACAGAUGGUCCGACAGCAAUCCACAAAGACCAGAGGCCCCAUGAUCAUACACUGCAGUGCUGGUGUGGGACGGACAGGGACAUUCAUAGCCCUUGAUCGACUCUUACAACAUGUUUGUGAUCAUGAAUAUGUUGACAUUUUGGGUCUGGUGUCAGAUAUGAGGUCAUACAGGAUGUCCAUGGUGCAGACAGAGGAACAAUACAUUUUUAUCCAUCAGUGCGUACAAUUGAUGUGGAUGAAGAAAAAGAGACAGUUCUGCAUCAGUGAUGUGAUAUAUGAGAAUGUUAGCAAGUCCUAGUUCAGGAUACUAAGCAGGAGAACAUGAAGUAUACCUACCUUCCCUUGCUUCAGAAUUAUUGGGGGCGGGAAGAAUCUACUAGCCAUUUUGCCAAGGAAGGCCCCUGCUUUGCAGUAUGUGGCCAAUAAAGAAGAUAUAUUUUAUCUUGUAGAAACA